GCAAACUUGGUCAUUUAGAGGAAGUAAAAGUCGUAACAAGGUUUCCGUAGGUGAACCUGCGGAAGGAUCAUUACCGAGUUUGGGUCCUCUGGGCCCCCUCUCUAACCCUUGUCUAUUUGUUUCUGUUGCUUUGACGGACCCGUCCUAGUGGACCGCUGGGGCUCAUCCCUAGCCAGUGCCCGUCAAAAGCCCUUCCAACCUCUGUACCUAUGUUAUCUAAGUCUUUGAAUAAUUACGUGAAAACUUUCAACAACGGAUCUCUUGGUUCUGGCAUCGAUGAAGAACGCAGC
rnacentral:misc_RNA from 1 species